AGUGACAAGAAGUUAGAGCGACAAAUUCAAAUAAAAGAUUAGUUCAUAAGCAAACUGGCAACGUGCUGUUUAUAACGUAUUUAACGCUCUGUUCCUUUAGACUUCUCAAAGCAACGUUGCCAGUUUGCUUAUGAAUUUACUGCUUUACCGCAGGCCACGCAACUGAGAGACUAUGGAAUGAGACGGGGAUUCGUUCUAUCUUACCAUUUGCCCGCCAAGUAUCGUACUUUCAUACAGUGUGUAUUAUAUUAACUGUAUUAUAUAUUUAUGAUAUUUUGCUUGGCCGGUUAUUUGAAAUUGUCGCUCCUACUUUUUGACUCGAUUGACUUUCGAAAAACUAAAAAGUAUUUAACCAUUACUCAAAAAAAAAAAAACAUUCUCAAGAUAAUUAUUAUUUUAAGAUAAUUAUAAUUAAAAUAAAAUUGGGGAAAAAUUUAAUUUCAUAAUAAUCUUUGAAAGUUUUGAUAUUAGAAUUUUGUAAUGGAUCACUUGAAAACAGUAGUGUUAUACUUCAAAAUAAAUCAGCCAGUUUUGGAGUACUUUUUGAGCGAAUAAGUUUACUAAUCAAAGUACCUAAUCAAUAUAUUUUAUAUGCAGUAAUAUAAUAUAUCUUGUUAGAUCACACAUUGGAAUAAUUGUCACAUGGAUCAAAGAUGAUUUAUUAAGAAAUAAAAGUUUUUAACAAUGAGAAGACUAGAAGGGUCACAUACAUAUGUUAUCUUAGUUAAUACUAAAGAUGAAAACAUUGGUCAUGUAUUUGAUGAUGAAAUUACUGAAGUCUCUAAUUAGUUGCUUGUGAACAAUUCAGUAGAAGUAGAUGAUGAAAUAGGAGAAAUUGAUGUUAUCAAUUUGAGCAUUCUAAAUAAUGAAGAUCAACAUUAUCAGUAUAAGUUACCCAAACAAUCCAAAAGUGUAAAUAUUACCCAAAAUAACCGAUUUUGUGCACACACAAUUAAAUAGAAAGCAACUGUGUCAAAUAAAAAUUAAUACAAGUAGAUUACCAUCCAUUGUACAUUUAAAAAGUAAAGUUUUAGAUCAAAUAUUUUAUUUGUUUAAAUAACAAUUUCUGUUUAGGAUUCUAAAAAAAUUUUGUCUAAUACUACUUUUAAAAAAUCUUAUUGGAAUUCUCUUAUUGCAUAACACAUCAGCUGUCCUCAUAUCGCACUCAGUAACAUCUAUUUUUUAGUCUUCCUCUACCUCUUCUUCCUUUAACAUUAAUUUCUAUAACUGUUUUUACAGCUUCUGUUAUUACAUUGAAAUAUAUCUAAAUAAUUAAAUAUAGAAUAGUUUAGACACUAUUAUGGGAAAAGUACUGUCAUAAAAUCAAAAUUUUAUAGUAGAAUGAAAAACCAUCUAUCUAAAUUGUGUGAACUUAUA